rnacentral:lncRNA from 1 species
GCUGAUUUGGAUGAUAUGUGAUCUCUGGGCGGUUUUGAUUGUAGUAGGCCUGUUGUCUGUCCUGCGCCGAUUGGAGAGACUUUUUGGCACGAUUCAGAGUCUCUUGCAAGUCUGCAGCAAAGUCUGAUGCAGCAGGUACAUUUGGCUGCGUGUUGUGGUCAAGUUCUGAGGCAAAUGGCAUGCGGGGAUGUCUGCCAUAAUUCAAGAAGAACGGAGUGUUUGAGACUGAUGAGUGGAAAGAGUUGUUGCAAGCAAAGGCAGCUGCUGGUAAGUACAG